rnacentral:rRNA from 1 species
CAGUCGCCGCGGUAAUACGGAGGGGGCUAGCGUUGUUCGGAAUUACUGGGCGUAAAGCGCACGUAGGCGGCUUGGUAAGUUAGAGGUGAAAGCCCGGAGCUCAACUCCGGAAUUGCCUUUAAGACUGCCGAGCUAGUAGGUGAGAGAGGUAAGUGGAAUUCCGAGUGUAGAGGUGAAAUUCGUAGAUAUUCGGAAGAACACCAGUGGCGAAGGCGGCUUACUGGCUCAUUCUAGACGCUGAGGUGCGAAAGCGUGGGGAGCAAACAGGAUUAGAUACCCCUGUAGUCCCUGUCUCUUAUAC